AAGUGUGACAGCUCUUUUAGAACUUGUCUAGUAGGUUUUCAGACUUCUGUUGGGAAAACCUGA
ensembl:snRNA LOC120096770 U7 small nuclear RNA